GGAUGGGCAUGCGGCGCAUUAGGUAGUUGGUGGGGGCAACGGCCCACCAAGCCGACGAUGCGUAGGGGUUCUGAGAGGAAGGUCCCCCACAUUGGAACUGAGACACGGUCCAAACUCCUACGGAAGGCAGCAG
rnacentral:rRNA from 1 species